GGGGGAUUAGCUCAGGUGGUAGAGCGCUCGCUUAGCAUGCGAGAGGUAGUGGGAUCGAUGCCCACGUUCUCCA
rnacentral:tRNA from 1 species